rnacentral:rRNA from 1 species
GCCUACGGGAGGCAGCAGUGGGGGAUAUUGCACAAUGGGGGAAACCCUGAUGCAGCGACGCCGCGUGAGUGAAGAAGUAUUUCGGUACGUAAAGCUCUAUCAGCAGGGAAGAAAAAUGACGGUACCUGACUAAGAAGCCCCGGCUAACUACGUGCCAGCAGCCGCGGUAAUACGUAGGGGGCAAGCGUUAUCCGGAUUUACUGGGUGUAAAGGGAGCGUAGACGGGCAUGCAAGCCAGAAGUGAAAUCUGGGGGCUUAACCCCCAAACUGCUUUUGGAACUGCGUGUCUU